UACGAAGGGGGCGAGCGUUGUUCGGAUUUACUGGGCGUAAAGGGCGCGCAGGCGGCUCAUUUUGUCAGGCGUGAAAGCCCCGGGCUUAACCUGGGAACUGCGUUUGAGACGGAUGGGCUAGAGUUCGGGAGAGGAGAGUGGAAUUCCCAGUGUAGAGGUGAAAUUCGUAGAUAUUGGGAAGAACACCGGUGGCGAAGGCGGCUCUCUGGACCGAUACUGACACUGAGAAGCGAAAGCGUGGGGAGCGAACAGG
rnacentral:rRNA from 1 species